AUUGAACGCUGGCGGCAGGCUUAACACAUGCAAGUCGAGCGAGCGGCGGACGGGUGAGUAAUGUCUGGGAAACUGCCUGAUGGAGGGGGAUAACUACUGGAAACGGUAGCUAAUACCGCAUACCAUCAGAUUUCCCCAGAUGUGAUUAGCUAGUAGGUGGGGUAAUGGCUCACCUAGGCGACGAGCCCUAGCGGGUCUGAGAGGAUGACCAGCCACACGGGAACUGAGAAACGGUCCAGACUCCUACGGGAGGCAGCAGUGGGGAAUAUUGCACAAGGGGCGAAAGCCUGAUGCAGCCAUGCGGCGUGUAUGAAGAAGGCCUUCGGGUUGUAAAGUACUUUCAGCGGGGAGGCGUUACCCGCAGAAGAAGCACCGGCUAACUCCGUGCCAGCCGCCGCGGUAAUAC
rnacentral:rRNA from 1 species